GACGAACGCUGGCGGCGUGCUUAACACAUGCAAGUCGAGCGGUAAGGCUCCUUCGGGAGUACACGAGCGGCGAACGGGUGAGUAACACGUGAGCAAUCUGCCCUUCACACGGGGAUAACUCCGGGAAACCGGUGCUAAUACCCGAUACGACCACUUCAGGCAUCUGAUGGUGGUGGAAAGUUCCGGCGGUGAAGGAUGAGCUCGCGGCCUAUCAGCUUGUUGGUGGGGUAAAGGCCUACCAAGGCAACGACGGGUAGCCGGCCUGGGAGGGUGACCGGCCACACUGGGACUGAGACACGGCCCAGACUCCUACGGGAGGCAGCAGUGGGGAAUAUUGGACAAUGGGCGAAAGCCUGAUCCAGCAACGCCGCGUGAGGGAUGACGGCCUUCGGGUUGUAAACCUCUUUCAGUAGGGACGAAGCGCAAGUGACGGUACCUACAGAAGAAGCACCGGCCAACUACGUGCCAGCCGCCGCCGUAAGAC
rnacentral:rRNA from 1 species